GCAAUAUUAGUUCAAUUUUUUUAACGUGUGGUAGUGCCAAUAUUCGUAUAACUGAAUUGCAGUAUCCUUUUGUGGGUUUGAUUCGCAAAAUGCUAAGGAUUCCUAUGUCAGACCAUUUCAUUCAAGGCUUUGCUCUAACUUCAAUUGAACUCCCCACAAGUAACGUUGUACUCACAUUCUCAAACAUCAUUACCGCCACCCUUGCAUAACAAGCAAAUAGCAUAGUUCAAUCUCAUACGAUUUCCUCAGCACCUACUUGUUCAUUUGUUUCUAUAAUUUAAAAAUCCAUUGCCUCAAACUUUACUUAUGCAGAAUGCAGCAGAUGUAUCAUGUACAAAAGAUUGAGAGAAUUGGUCCGAGGACAAACCACCUAUAGAGAAGCCUUUAUCUCUCUAGAUUCGAUUACUCAAAGCUGUAACUAAAAAUGUCUUUUUUUUUUUUUAUCAAGUAGCCUAGUGGCUAAAGAAAUUCACCUUUAAGAUGAAUAAGUGGGGUGUCCGGGGUUUGUACCCCGGCCCCUGCAGAAAUUGUGCAUUAUCCCUUACCUAAUGUGCCAAUUUAAAUAAAUUAGUGUUUGAAAAUCUGCUAUUUAGA
rnacentral:lncRNA from 1 species